UUAAGGAAGCUAUGGUGGAGAGAUUUAACCUGAUUAGUUCAUUCUUCUAGAAUCAAACUAUUUCACUGAGGCAACGUAACUUCUGGGAUAAAGGGCAAAUCUCAUACAAGUACCAUACAACUCAUAUUACUUCAAAUGUGGUAUUUACCGUUAAAAUAAUGCACAUGCAAAAUAUGCAGUUUUGUCUGUUACUAAGAAACUAACAAAUGUACUUAGACACUUUGGAAAAAUAAUGAGAAAAAAUGUAACGUAAAUUAAGUUGAAAAUGGAAGAGUUUAAAACAAUGAUUUUACUGUCUUCUGCUUUCUCUAUAGGAGAUUUUUCACCACUGAAUUUCAAACAAUGCCUUGUAACUCCUACAAUAUGCUGUUCUGGAAAACGAUUAAGGUUCUCCAGUUACAUUCCUAUUGUUCAAACUUAAUCUAGUUAAUUGCAUAUUUAUUUUUCAAAAACAUACACAAAAGUACAUUUUCGUGCAUUUGAAUUCUGACUUGCUUGGCAUUGCAAGUAUUUUUUACAAAACAAGUUUUCAGAUAUAUUUAAGAUACAGUUGCAUUCACAGCAAGAAGCUAUGCUACACCAAUGAAAACACAUUGCAUUGGUAGCCUUCACAGAUCAAAGUGACUGAAUAAAAUUAUUUGAAAUUCAGCUCCUUCAAGAGAUUAUUAAAAUUGCAUGCUUUUCUUUUCUUUUUUUUUUUUUUUUUUUGUCUGGAGAGACUGGGAGGAGAAGACUUUACAGAGUUCUCCCCCCUUUCAGAUUGGGCAGGAAAAAAUUGCCUUUCUGAUUUAAGCAGGAGAAAUACUGUGUUGAUGCUCCCUAUGAAAUCAGAACAGCAUUAUUUUUAAGUGUUUUCAUUAAUUACAUGGUAACCUGCAUUCUUUGGGUGGUGAAUAAAAGAGGAAAAGCAUUUAUUUCCCACAGAAACAAUUGCCUGUCAAACAAAGCAUAAAAAGACAAAAGGCAGAAACACUGUUUCAGCUUGAAUGCCUUAAUGUCACCAUUUGUCAUGCAGCACUUCCUCAGAAAACCCCCAAGUACAGUUAACUCUGCUCCUCUUUACACCGUGCACUUUCUCCAUUGGUACAGGAUUAAAAUGUGCCCGGCCUGACGAUGAAACAGCAGAGCCAUCGCACAUUGUUAUGCAACUCACUGUCUGCAAGGGUGGCUCGUAGCUCCUUCUUUAUUCAGCAAGUGCCAAGUGCAUGUUUAAUCAAUGUCACAGCUCACCACAGUGUGCAACUAAAGCCACUGUCAUUCCUCUCUUCAGAUUUGCCUGGCUGAGUUAUGCAAUGCUCCGAAGAAUACCUUGCAAUUCUUUCCAGAGGCUCUGAAUGCAGGUGGGUGACAGCGUUCCAACUACUGCCAGCAAAGCAGACCUCUUUCCAUCCUUUUUCAGGCUGGACUAAAAUUACAUAGUGUGACUGCACGUAGUCCACUGCAUUUGGAAUUACAGCAUGUCAACGUGAGAAAGCCUCUUCAGACUGCUGCCACAAAGAGUAAAUCAAAGGCUGGGUGUUUCUGAAGUCUUAAUAAAUAACUAAGUAUAACUGAAUAAAACCAGGAGCUGUUUGUAUUUUUUUUAAGACAAAACAGAACAGCAUGCAUUUUGUGGCUCUGCAUCAGCUAAGGGGAAAAAAAAGCCUCAAUUUUAAUGAGAAUUAGUCAACAGUGAGGAUCAUUAUGAGAAAAAGCUUUACUGUUUUUUCAACUACACUUGCUUUAGUGGAUUACUGAGAAAAACACCAGUCAUUUGGAAGACUCUGCAACAUUAUUAUCUUCACUGAUAAACUUCUUCAUCAAGAAACUGUACGUGCUCCUAUCUGGUCUGUCUGAGAGAGGAGAGCAGCCUCUUCAUGAAGAUAAAAGCCUGGCUUGCCACUGAAUCGACGAGUAAGAAGCAUGUCUGAUGACAUUUUAUUCCUGAUGCAAUGUAGGCUAGCUGCCAGAAUACUGGUGAAGGUAUUUGCAGGAAAAAUGGGGACCUCUGCCAUCACAACACUAGAAGAUGUAAAAAGGCAAGAGGAGAAAGAGGAAAAAGAAGAAUCUAUUUUAGCACUGCUUGGGAUUAUUGGAACUGUGCUCAAUUUAUUUGUUAUUGUUUUUGUGUACAUCUACACUACACUUUGAUGACAUUUUUGAAAAUCAAUUGUACAGCACAAUGUGCAAAGACCUGCAAUGGUAAGGAUGAUUUCUAAAUUUACAGCAAAAAACCCCACCACUCUCUGAAAACAGUAUCAAAAACAUUCCAGAGUGCAGUGUCUGGGUAAGGGUGCUGCACCAAUGACUGCAAAGUGUACCUAUGAGCCCAGCUAGGGUGCUAAAUUACGUAAAUGAAGGCAGACCAAAUACAACAUUUCGUUGGUAACAGAUGAAAUCUGAAUAGCAGGAUCAGAGAAGGCACUGUUUUAUUGCCAGCAAACAUGCAAGACAGAAACGUAGCCAAACACUGAAAAUAAUCAGAACAUAGAAAGAGAUAAACUAAAUCUAUGAGCAACCAUAAGCAAGUCCCAUGCUUUCUAUGGUUUUGUGCAGUAUGUCUCUUGAUAGCUGAGACCAGAAAACAGGCAAAAGGGGUUUUUUAUUUUUAGGCCACCAUAAUUUAGGCUUAUAACUUACACUAAUGUAUAAUAAGUGUGGAAACAGGAAUGCUGUUAUACUAGAAGUUGUUAUAUUAUAAAUAAAAUUUUAAUUAUUGACUAUAUUCUGCAGCAUUUUUGUUAGUCUUGUGGAAAGCCGAAAAAGGUUAGAUUUUCUGGCCUUUACUAAAUCUGUAUUUGAAAUCAUCAUGCUCUAUUGACAAUGUGCUUUUCUAAUUAAAAAUACUUUAAAGUGGUGUGAAAAAAUAAAGAAUAAUUUUAGUACUUCUUUUAAGGCAUAUUAAUAAUUCCAAUGACACACUAAUACAUAUUCUCUAAAUGAAAAAAAAAAAUCUUAAAUUACAUUUUCUAUAUCACCAUUUUUAGAAUGUGUUUAACAGAAAUCAAAUAUAAUUCUCAUGUUUUCACCCUGAUGCUUAUUUUCAAGUAAAACAUAUCAUGCAAGGAUUCACAGUGUGGCAUGGAAAACAGGUUUAGCCUUUGUCCAGAGGACUGUACUCUCUCUUUCUGGACCAAGUUCUGAGGAAAUUUUCCCUUUUUGCACUGUCUAUGAUUGAGGCGCAGAAUUGCAACUCUUAAGCAUACUUCACAGAACAUAUCAUUUGGCUACUGAAAUUAGUGAAACUAAUUCCAUAUAUUUAAUUAAAUCUAUAUAUGCCUUUAAACUAGAUCCAAAGCUGCAGACAGGCUGAGACCACAGAAGUUUUUGUAUACAUGAAUGUAUCUCACAUGUACCUUAUAAUGAAAAUUACUUUUGAGAACUUAGCAUUAAAAACUCAUUAAACAAAUUACAUGAAAAAGGUAAAAAUAAACUGAUUUUAAUAAAUACUUUUCUUACUAUUACCUGUGCCACAGAGGAACAACAGAGCAACUGCAUUUCUGAAUAUCAGCUCAAUUUCUUCUAGGCUACAAAACUACAUCCAGUCCCUCCAUAAAAUGACAUGUGAAGAAAUACAUCCCUUAUAUAGGUGAUAGCUUGUUAGUGUAUAGAGUUUGGUAACUGCUAAACCAACUGAGCCUUUGGAAGUCACUUUAAGGUCAGGGACCUAGAAGAGAAUGAAUUUGGCAAUGAUAUUUCAGUCAGUUGCACACUGUAACACUGACUUAUGGACAAAUGAGGUGGAAGAUGGUAUAUUCUGGUUUUGCAACUCUGAGUCAAUACUGGCUCAACUAGAAGAAAUGGUAAACAGAGCUGAGGCUGCACUGGAAGGAAGCACAUGCAGACAAGGAAAUUUAUUCACCAGCCACAGUCUUCAGCAAGUCUCUAUUAAAUGUAAACUUAUUUUCAGUAUAUGAAGCACCAAAGCAUUCUGUAAAACUAAGCUGCAUUCUAGAGGAAUUAUACAGGUUACUAAAGUUUAUUUAAGACUACAGAACAGAUAUUACCAUUAUUAUUUUUUCAAUGUACUUCUUAUAUCUACAUACUUAUGGAUAUUAUUGCAUUUAAUCUCAUAAUACCAGGAUAUUUGAGAUGGAUCUCUGAAAUGAAAUAUUACAAGAACCUGAAAAGUGAAAUUCAGGUAGAAAUUGCUGCUGUUUAUUUUGAUCCUGAAGUUAUUUAAAACUUGUCAAUUCUGUGAAAUAAAUAAAGAGUUUUAUUUCGUA